AUCUAUGGAUCUUCCGAUUCGUCUACUUUUGUGGUCUUGUCUCCAUACCUUUGUGUAUCUAUUAUCUAUGCUCCAUACUUUGGUUUUCGACAACGACGACCGAUCCUUUUUGCUGUCCACAAAAGAAAAUUACACCUAAAGAGUUGCUUUGAGAUGACAUCCUUGGAUUCGAUGGACAUACAUUCAGAGAUGUUUUUAUUUCCAAGAGUACUUUUAAUCAUCUGGUUAAAAAAUCACAACAGAGGAUGCUAUCAAUGCAUUUUUCCAUUAAAACAUCAGAAAUGUACAUGGAGAGAGAGGGUAAAUUAAAAGUACUCAAAACAUGGUGAAGCGCAGCCCCAUUUACGUUUCUUUCUCUUAAGCUUGGAAAGGGAUGUCAUUUAAACAUAUUAAAUGAACAAGGAGACAAAGAAGGAUUGGAGAAGUGGAGCCGUUUUAAUACUCCCUCGGACUUGAUGGUGUUUAUAGAAAACAUGCAGUCUAAUUUACAGUGAUGUAUGCGAUGUUCUGUCUGCCUGUUAUCUGGCUCAUUUCAUCCUCUAGAAAAGCAAUUGCUUUUCUGUGAUUUUAAAAUGACUUAUUCAUAGUAAUUCGCCUUCUUUGGCAUCUAUGGUUUUACUUCUAGCAGUUAUCUAUUGUCCGCAGCAUAAAUUAACGUCAUCCUGCAUUUAUGGAGUUUUCUUCUAACAGUUAUCUAUUGUCAGAAUACCACAGAAUAAAUUAAUGUUAUAGUUCAUCUGUGGUUACUUGUAUUGCUUUUAACAUUUUUCUAUGUAAUGAAUA